rnacentral:lncRNA from 1 species
UGUUGGUAGAGGUUAAUUCAUUUUCUUUCUAAAAGUAUUUAGUCAAGUGAUAUUUGCUUGUGCUAGUAAUCAUGAAGAAGCACUGCAAUCAAAUAACACUAAUUUGAGCACAUUAGUUCAGAUAAGCACAUGAUAAAAUAAAGGGAACAAACCCACAGCACUGAAACAAACAAAUAUGUUGAGUUUGCUUCACUGGAUCCAAAGUCAGCCUGUCUGACCUGACAGCCCCUGUCCUUCAGGUCAACGCGUUCGGCAAGGGGCAGUGUUCACAGGGGAGGGGAGGGGAAGGGAAGGGAAGGCCAGACACCCCUGCAGCCGAAGGCACGGGGGGACAAAGGGAUGCUCCGCUGCAGCAUUACCUGAUAACCCAGGUCAUUUCCCCGUGGUCUGUCUGAAUGCAAGUGUAGCCGGUGCAGAAGGCAGUCAUGCUCCUCUUGCUGUGUGUGUUGUGCUGUUCUCUUCCUUUUCCUCUCUCCAGAAAGCACCAGGACCUUGCCGAAACUCCUCCUGUAACUGCCUCCAGAAGCUGUUCAGUGGCGCUGGAUGGAAGCGGCUGAGCCAGCAAGUCAGAGGGAGGCACAGGGAAGCAGGAGCUGGGAGGAGAAACGGGGAAGUAGGAGCCGGGAAGGGCCUUUCUGCAUAUGGCUGGUGUUGUUGCCCUGAACGAGUACUUAAGGAAAGUACAGGAAUAAAAUCAAUGCAUGGAGACUUUUUUUCCCUCUGGGGAUUUAAUAUCAUCGUGGAACCUCUUCCAGCUCAGCUGAAAGAAUCAGGUAGAACAAGGUCUCUUUUUUCUUUGGAUCUGAUGAGUCUUGCUCCUGGCAUCUCUUCCAGGACUAUGUCUGUACCGAAGAUUCACCUGUUCCUGUUGCUGGGUGAUUGUGCUCACUCCCCUGCGCAGAGAACACUGAAACAGACAUGCAGUGAUACGGUUCCUGGCAUAUCCUGCAUCCAGGAUAAACAUGAACAUAUGGUGCCAAGGAAGUUUGUUGCGGGCCCGAGAUGAAGAUAAACACUACAAGCUGUUAUUUCAGAAGGGUAGCAUAGGAUGAAGAUUGUUGUAAAGAAAACAAAUAGUGUUACAGAAACAAAAAUUGGAUUCAUACUGACAUCUGUCAGGGCUUCUUGGCUCACCCGAAGAGGCUGCUUGAGCUGCGAGUCCCCGUUAGUCCUGCUGCAGCUGUAGGUCACCUCGCAUUCUUCCUCACACAUGGGUGUGGGACACGAUAAAUUGCACGGAGGGCUGGGGCACUCUCAUGGAAAUUAAUCUUUUGUCGGCUGCCAGCUUGGGGCAAUGGCAGAGUCUGAUUUAGCUCCCAGUUUGGACAGGGAAAUGCAACAUAAUAAGAAAUACAUCAUCUGUUAGCCUGCACUGCCUUGUUGAGCACUAGUUAGCAAUCAGAGAAAGCCCGUCUGUUCCUGGUGGCCCUUCUAGAUUCUAGUCAUCUCAUGACUUUCCUUUCUGAGAUGUCUGUUAUCUUUAAGUAAAAGAAAACGUGUUCCAUGCCCCCACCUAGUUCCCAAAGAAACAGAAUGGAUGCAUGGAUUUUUUUUUUUGUAGACUUUAUCUCCUGUCGGUAGAGCAGUGUUUGAUCUUGCAGAGUGAAGGUGGUGGCCUUCCUGGUGAAGGCAUGCAGAAUGCAUUUUGGGGACCCUGUGGUAGGGUAGGAACUAA